rnacentral:rRNA from 1 species
CAGUCGCCGCGGUAAAACGUAGGUGGCAAGCGUUGUCCGAAAUUAUUGGGCGUAAAGGGCUCGCAGGCGGUUUCUUAAGUCUGAUGCGAAAGCCCCCGGCUCAACCGGGGAGGGUCAUUGGAAACUGGGAAACUUGAGUGCAGAAGAGGAGAGUGGAAUUCCACGUGUAGCGGUGAAAUGCGUAGAGAUGUGGAGGAACACCAGUGGCGAAGGCGACUCUCUGGUCUGUAACAGACGCUGAGGAGCGAAAGCGUGGGGAGCGAACAGGAUUAGAUACCCCGUAGUCCCUGUCUCUUAUACA